AAAGUAUCAGACUUCACACCAUAUGAUGCUGAUAAUUUUUAAAGCUAAACCCAUUCCUGCGUAGAUAACGCUGGAAAACAGUAGAUCGGGCAGCAUAAGUAGACGGAGAAAUGGUUAAUGUUUCAGAUUGAAGACCCUUCUUCAGAACUGAGUAAGGGAGAAAACAAGUCAGUCAAGAUUUCAGAGAAGGUGGGGAGGACAACGGGCGGAACAAAGUUAAACUGGCCCCAGUGUGAUCGGAGUCUCUACCUGGACUGAAGAGAAGCAGGCAAGAGAAAGGUUUGUAAAGAUGCAGCAUCUUGUAUCCUGGACAGAGGGUAUUGAUCUACUUUCAGUACUGGGUUGAUGGUGUCUUUAAAAUCAUCACAGAUCCUGACAGACCAAUCAUUCAAGGCUACUAGGACUAUUGGCACUGCCCACGGCUCCACCCCAACUUGGGAAGAAUUCCUUCAGCCUCCAUGUGAUCUAGCUCACUGGCUACUUUAUCACGGAUGGUAAAGGGAACCAGUGGCUGGAGUUUCUGGGAGCAAUUCAGAAGGCACAGGAUAGAUACAUCCCAAAGAAGAAAAAGCAUUCUAAAGGUGGAGAGACACAAGCAUGGUUGACAUGGGAAGUCAAAGCCAACAUAAAAGCCAAAGAGAAGCUCAGCGUGUGGCUGCAGACAAAAUGGAAGAUGAAGCCUCAGGAUGGUGUCAUUCAUCAGUUAGGACCCUUGCUCCUAGGACAUGCCCUCGUUUUGUUCCUACCAUCAGGGGUGUGGUACACGAGCCUGAAGACCUACACAUAAAGAUUCAGAAACAGCUUCUUCCCCAUCUCGAUUGGAUUUUUGAAUGGCUGCUCGUAGAGGACCAAAGCCCGAGGCUGAAGUUUCCUAUGUAGUAGCGGCAACAUGACUUUUAGAGGUGGAGUGAAGAAGACCCCCUGAAACAUUUUCAAAGACUUUGCUAGCCAGCAAGUUCUCACACCCAACUUUGGCAGUGAUCAAAAGGGAUUUUGAAUGUCCCUAAGGAAAAUUAAAAUACACCAAUAUGAAAGCACCUAAAACAAUUAUUAAUAUUUAUAAACAUUAAAAUUAAACAAAAUAAACAUAGACAAGUAACUUUUCAUCUUUUUUUAGUUUAGAGUCCCACAAUCCCCAUUGAAAUCAUUAACACCUGAGCUCCUAGGCUAGACCAUGCCAUCGGCGAUAUGAGUCCCCAGUGCAACUACUGAGGAAUGACGAUCAGUAACUGAAUGUGUUGACACGUGUGGUCCUUUAGUUAUUAGGAAAGCCCAGAAUCUACACACUUGACAAAGCAUGUGCCAGUGUCCUGGACUUCUGCCUUUUAGAUGGCUAAAUGCCAGUCAUCUGUUUAAAGCUGCCAGCAAGUUCCAAACCACCAACUUAGCAAUCCCUGUAACUUUGUUACUACGUUUUUCAAUGAAAUGAGUCCUUGCUGUUUGUUUCCAUCAGUGAGUGAGUCUAUUAACAGCACAUAUAAGUAAGACACUUCUGCUAAAGGGCAUUCAGUCUGUUAAAAGGAAUUACAAUUUGAUUACUUGAAUCUGAAUUUGAUAUAUUAUUUGACAGCUUUCCUGCUCCUCAAACAGACACAAGGAAGCACUGUGAGGAAUAUUUAUACAUAAUAAUACCCUGGUAUGGCUUCAACAAACAUUAUGAAUUUCACAUUAUAUUGUAAAUAUAUUUAAACAUUUUGUUGAAUUAGAUUGUAAAUUUGACAAAAAAUAUACUAAUUGUUAUUAUUUCCCAUUGCUGGUGAGCAGAAUGAAUACAGUGAGUCUGCAUAAUUACACUUGAACCUGAAUAAUUAGAAAAUUAUGACUCCUUACUUUUUCUUUUCAGUCAAUCAGAUGUCUGAUGCCAGAGUGAGAUAUGAAAUUGCAAUGUCAGUAUUUUUUCAGGAAUUAUGAAAGUAUAUGAUUUGUUAUCAGAACCUUCUAAAAACAACAGUUUAUAUGUAGUACAAUAUCAGAUAAUAAAUAUCUUCCAUUUCAUGAUUGAACCUACUUUAAUUAAUGCCAUUUUAAUAUUACUUAAAUUUACCAUUAUUAUAAUUUGAGAUACUUUCUAUCAUUUUAAAAUGAUUGGUACAAUCUACCUUCAGCAGGAGUGGCCUAAUUUAGGAAUUACUUCUAAUUAAAUCUGGGCAUCUGUAGUACCUCAAAAGUUAAUUUGUUCAUGGCUUAAAUUGAAAGAUAUCAAAAGACAAAAAUGUUGACCAAAAAUCUGAUUCUUUGAUCUUAUGUGUGGUGUUUUAAGUCUUAGCACCAUCUCUGAAAUUCAGUUAAAUCAAAUGUGUGUCAAGGUGAUCCUAUUAAAACCUGACUGAAUAUUACAAAGAGCUUCACCCCUAAUGUAAUCAGUCCAUUGACAGUCCAACUGACAAAUAAUAAUAACAAGGAAUAACAGGAACUCAUCACUUCCUCCCUAAAAAUAGUCUUUAUGGUUUUGCUGUCCAUCAUAGUACUUUAGAACAAGACAACCUUCACUUAAUGUUUUUCUAAAGGAAUGACUUCAUGUAUAACAAUCAGGGUAGUAAGUGAAGUUACGUUUUGCUUUGGUAAGGAAAACCAGGAUGUCAGUCUUUGCAUGAGGUGUAGGUCAGUUCAGAGCCGUUAAUGCUGGUCAUCCUUGUAUUCUUCGAAGUGUUGCUGACUACACCAAGGACUAAUGUGGUAAUGCUGUUUCAAUAAGUAUACUAAACUCUGAAAUAUGAUAGCCAGAGUGUGUUUAGAAGGAAAUUUGAUACGUACAGGAGGAUGUUAGGAAUAGUUUCACUCAACUAAACCAUUCAAAGAUGGGAUCAAAGCCAGUCGCAUUCUUGGGAGUGGACUGAAUGUCCAGCCAUUGCCUUGUUUUAGUCACCGCCAAGAGUGAAAAUUGGCUCAAGCUAGCGUAUCUUGAGUGGGCUAACAUCAUGGCCACAAGUUUGCAGUAACUGAACAAGUCCAGAUGGUGAGAAUUGAAUGAUAUGGUUAGGCGCACUACCCUGUGUAAACUGUGCUGUGUGCUAAAGGCUGGAUAUGUCAGACUGAUCCAACGUUUAAAGUAGGUUUGCUGAACAGAACCAAACAUAUCUGGGCUCCUGGGGACCACUUUUAACAUCACGGUUUGAAAGUCUAUUUGGCAGAUAGAUCUCUUUGGCAUAAGGAUGCCAGGUUUGAACCGGCUUGAACAAGUAUUAGAAAGGUAUGCUUGGUGGGGUCACAGAACAGACAUGUACUGAGUCUAUGCUGCAAGGUUGGAGUGUGGAAUCACAUUGCUGUUGCAACACCCCACUUGCUUUGAUACUCCUGAUACAUUUAUUUAUAUACUUAUUCAUUGAGAGAGAGUGUGGAGUACGCCCCUCUGGCCCUUCGAGCCACACUGCUCAGCAACCCCAAAUUUAACCCUAGCCUAAUCAUGGAACAAGUUAUAAUGACCAACUACCCUAGUAAUUGGUACAUCUCUGGACUGUGGGAGGAAACCAGAGCACUUGGAGGAAACUCACGCCAUCAUGGGGAGAAUGUACAGACAGCGGUGGGAAUUGAACCCGAGUCGCUGGUAUUGUAAAGCGUUGUGCCAACCAUUAUACAACCAUGCCGCCCAUUGAAAGGGCAAUUUGGCCAGAACUUGCUGUGGGUGGGUCAGUUGAUAAUCUAUUACUGCAGCAGGUACAUGGCCCAAUAUCAUUAAGCAAGGGGUCAGCAGACCCCAGUUUGGGAAUCCUUGGUAAAAGAUGGUUGAUGGUUCGUGUGAACGUCAUAGGAUAAAUGGGCUUGUGCACUGUGUGUCUCCAUUAUCUGUCAUUUCAAUUUUGUGCAUUUGAGCUUUUAACAAAUCAUUAACAAAAAGAAGCAGAUCCAAAACAGGAAAAAUUUGCUUUUUAAAGCAGAGAUUGUUUUGGGAGAGGACACCAUGCUCCUGAAAAUCAAAUGCUCUGGUCAAACUUUAUGAAGCCAAUAUAUCACUGCAAGCAUUACACGUGGACAUAAGAGAAUACAGUUAUGAUCUAUCAGUGGCAGUAGCGCAACUUCUUUGGAAAUUUAAAGAUAUGAUUUAGUCAAUGUUAUCUCAAAAAUCUAAUUGUAUUUCCUUUCAUUUGUUCAGUGAUUAGAAUCUUAACACUUUACAUUAAAUAGUUACAUAUUUAUGUAAUACAUUAGUUUAAUUACACCAAAAACAAGUUUUGUAUUGAAAUUUUAUAUCCAGUACAGUCAUUUUGCUACCUGUGCUUAAA